rnacentral:rRNA from 1 species
UAGGGAAUCUUCGGCAAUGGGGGGAACCCUGACCGAGCAACGCCGCGUGAGUGAAGAAGGUUUUCGGAUCGUAAAGCUCUGUUGUUAAGGAAGAACGAGUGUGAGAAUGGAAAGUUCAUGCUGUGACGGUACUUAACCAGAAAGGGACGGCUAACUACGUGCCAGCAGCCGCGGUAAUACGUAGGUCCCGAGCGUUGUCCGGAUUUAUUGGGCGUAAAGCGAGCGCAGGCGGUUAGAAAAGUCUGAAGUGAAAGGCAGUGGCUCAACCGGGGAGGGUCAUUGGAAACUGGUUGACUUGAGUGCAGAAGAGGAGAGUGGAAUUCCAUGUGUAGCGGUGAAAUGCGUAGAUAUAUGGAGGAACACCAGUGGCGAAGGCGACUCUCUGGUCUGUAACUGACGCUGAUGCUCGAAAGCGUGGGUAGCAAACAGG